rnacentral:tRNA from 1 species
GGUGGCUUAGUGGUAAAGCACUUGCCUAGCAUGCACGAAGCCUGGGUUCGAUUCCUCAGUACCA